rnacentral:rRNA from 1 species
GACGAACGCUGGCGGCGUGCCUAACACAUGCAAGUCGAACGGUGAAGGACGGAGCUUGCUCUGUCUGGAUCAGUGGCGAACGGGUGAGUAACACGUGAGUAACCUGCCCCAGACUCUGGAAUAAGCGCUGGAAACGGCGUCUAAUACCGGAUACGAGACGGAGAGGCAUCUCUACCGUCUGGAAAGUUUUUCGGUCUGGGAUGGACUCGCGGCCUAUCAGCUUGUUGGUGAGGUAAUGGCUCACCAAGGCAACGACGGGUAGCCGGCCUGAGAGGGCGACCGGCCACACUGGGACUGAGACACGGCCCAGACUCCUACGGGAGGCAGCAGUGGGGAAUAUUGCACAAUGGGCGAAAGCCUGAUGCAGCGACGCCGCGUGAGGGAUGACGGCCUUCGGGUUGUAAACCUCUUUCAGCAGGGAAGAAGCGAAAGUGACGGUACCUGCAGAAGAAGCACCGGCUAACUACGUGCCAGCCGCCGCCGUAACAC